UAAGUUUUUCCUUUAUAUUGCCCAAUUGUUGGCUUGUUCAAACACGAUCUCUGUGGAUUUGAUCUUUUAUUAUUAUGAAACUAUCGCUACACUUGCCAAGAAGUCAUCAAGUUUUUGGUGUUGUUGUCAGGGACUGUUAAUUACAACAAAGCAACACUUUAUGCAACAUAUUUUAUUUUUCUUAGUUUUAAUUUUUUUAUUUUUUUUUAUUUUCUUGUUUAUCAUAAGACUCCUAAGGUAUUUUAUGUUUGUGUAUGCGCAAUUUAAGGUCAUCAUUACUAAC
rnacentral:lncRNA from 1 species